AUCCUGGCUCAGAUUGAACGCUGGCGGCAUGCCUUACACAUGCAAGUCGAACGGCAGCGGACCUUCGGGUGCCGGCGAGUGGCGAACGGGUGAGUAAUAUAUCGGAACGUACCUUUCAGUGGGGGAUAACGUAGCAAAAGUUACGCUAAUACCGCAUAUUCUGUGAGCAGGAAAGCAGGGGAUCGCAAGACCUUGCGCUGAUUGAGCGGCCGAUAUCAGAUUAGCUAGUUGGUGAGGUAAAGGCUCACCAAGGCUACGACGGGUAGCUGGUCUGAGAGGAUGAUCAGCCACACUGGCACUGAGAUACGGGCCAGACUCCUACGGGAGGCAGCAGUGAGGAAUAUUGCGCAAUGGGCGAAAGCCUGACGCAGCGACGCCGCGUGGGGGAUGAAGGUUUUCGGAUUGUAAACCCCUUUCAUGAGGAAAGAUAAAGUGGGUAACCACUUAGACGGUACCUCAAGAAGAAGCCACGGCUAACUUCGUG
rnacentral:rRNA from 1 species